UGCACUUUGCAUUUGACCCUCGUUGGAGCAAAUAAAACAAAAACCGUGUCUCUUGUGCUAUAAACAAUAAAGGUGACCCAGAGAUCCUUUUAUCAAUAUUUUAAUGGAUUCACUAUGAAAGAAGGCCUUUGCAUUGCUGCUGACUCCAUCAGAAUCUCAGAAGUCUUCCUGGAUCAGAAGGGGACCCAAUUAGAACCUGGAAGGCCCGCUACUCAUAGGCAGGAGGCCAGAAGACUUGCCCUAGUGCCGAAAUGUUGUUCUGUUAAUGUGUAUCUCAUGCCCAGUAUUUCUUAUUAAUAAGGCACUAAAUAAGGGACAAUCCAGCGUUUCCAUUGCCAAAAGAACACAUCUCCCUUUUAAUUAAUCAAUGUAAAUGGCCUUUUACUGGAAAAUAGAAGUAAAGUAUUCCUAGAACAUAGGAUAUAAUGUUACAUUGGGGAAUAUCAUGCCCUCUUUUUAUUUUAAAGUGGAGAUUUUUUUUUUUAAUGUAGAGACACUAGGUCUGGACCACCUGAGAGAGAGUUCAUUCACAAAUUAUUGCUGAACAUUUGCUACUUGGGUAAACUCAGGACUUUUGUUUCCCAGUUCAUUUUUGCUACAACUCAUUUGCAUUCAAUCCAGUGGGAGUUCAGAUCAGGAAAAUUAUCUGGAUGGAGCAAUUUAUAAAAUAAAAAAUAACUUAUAUUCAAAAUCCACUUCUUCCCAUUUCUAUGUAUCUUUCCCUCAAGGACCAGUGCAAUUAAUGUUCAGCCAGGGACUGACAUAAAUAUUG
rnacentral:lncRNA from 1 species